rnacentral:rRNA from 1 species
AGAGUUGUAUCAUGGCUCAGAACGAACGCUGGCGGCAGGCCUAACACAUGCAAGUCGAACGCUCGUAGCAAUACGAGAGUGGCAGACGGGUGAGUAACGCGUGGGAACCUUCCCAGUGGUACGGAAUAGCUCAGGGAAACUUGAGGUAAUACCGUAUAAGCCCUCAGGGGGAAAGAUUUAUCGCCAUUGGAUGGGCCCGC